UACGGGGGGAGCAAGCGUUGUUCGGAUUUACUGGGCGUAAAGGGCGCGUAGGCGGCGCAACAAGUCACUUGUGAAAUCUCCGGGCUUAACCCGGAGCGGCCAAGUGAUACUGUCGUGCUAGAGUGCGGAAGGGGCUAUUGGAAUUCUCGGUGUAGCGGUGAAAUGCGUAGAUAUCCGGAGGAACACCAGCGGCGAAGGCGGCUUUCUGGUCCGAUUCUGACGCUGAGGCGCGAAAGCGUGGGGAGCGAUCCGG
rnacentral:rRNA from 1 species